GUGCGAGACCGAUAGCGAACAAGUACCGUGAGGAAAGAUGAAAAGAACUUUGAAAAGAGAGUUAAAGAGUACCUGAAACUGCUGAAAGGGAACCGAAUCGUAUCCAGUGUCUAUAAUCCAUAGCAUAUUUCAUUGGCGAAUGAGUGCGUGCGGCGUUUUGGAAGUGGUUUCCGCUCCUGUCGUUGUUGUGCAUUUUUUUGCUGGUGCCCUGUGCUGUGGUGGGACGUCAGAGUCAGUUUGUAUGUUGCGGGAAAUGGUUAUCGGGGAGGUAGGUCAUUUCGGUGGCUGUUAUAUCCUGGUGACUAGUCGUCGUGGCUGAGACUGAGGUGCCUAC
rnacentral:rRNA from 2 species